rnacentral:rRNA from 1 species
AGAGUUUGAUCCUGGCUCAGAACGAACGCUGGCGGCAUGCUUAACACAUGCAAGUCGAACGAUGGCUUCGGCCAUAGUGGCGCACGGGUGAGUAACGCGUGGGAACCUACCUCCUGGUUCGGAAUAACCUCGGGAAACUGAGGCUAAUACCGGAUGAGCCCGCAAGGGGAAAGAUUUAUCGCCAGAAGAGGGGCCCGCGU